rnacentral:rRNA from 1 species
UAUGGGAAGCAUUAUGCUGAAACUAGUAACAAGAAUUUAACAUUCUCCAAAAUGCAAGCGUAAACCAAAAUGGAUACUCCAUUGGUUAUUAACGAAAAUGAAUAAAACACAGUAACAUCACAAGAAAACUCUGAGUAUUAACUCGUUAACCUUACACUAGCGCAUUGCUGGAAAGAUUAAAAGGGGAAGAAGGAACUCGGCAAAUUCCAAUCCCGCCUGUUUACCAAAAACAUCGCCUCCUGAAAACUAUAAGAGGUCCAGCCUGCCCAGUGACAAAGUUCAACGGCCACGGUACCCUAACCGUGCGAAGGUAGCAUAAUCACUUGUUCUUUAAAUAAGGACUAGUAUCAACGGCAUCACGAGGGUUGCACUGUCUCCCUCCCCUAAUCAGUGAAACUGAUCUCUCCGUGAAGAAGCGGGGAUACAACUAUAAGACGAGAAGACCCCAUGGAGCUUUAGACCCAAUAGCAACUCAAUUAUAUAUUCCUCUAUAACUUUAAGAGCCAUGCACACAGGUUUUAGGUUGGGGUGACCGCGGAGUAUAAAUUAACCUCCACGACGAAAAGAACUAAAUCUUUAUCCAAGAGCUACAACUCUCAGAAUUAGUAUACUAACGAAUAAUGAUCCGAUAAUCGAUCAACGAACCAAGUUACCCUGGGGAUAACAGCGCAAUCUACUUCAAGAGCCCCUAUCGACAAGUAGGCUUACGACCUCGAUGUUGGAUCAGGUAUCCAAGUGGUGCAGCCGCUACUAAAGGUUCG